rnacentral:lncRNA from 1 species
GAUCAGCGCCUGGGACUUUGUGGAGAAAGGCCACAGAAACAGACGAACCAUGAAGAAAUGGGCUGCAGCACUCAUACCACAGGCUGACAGGGCAACACCCUGGGGGCAUUCCUGACACCCUACACUUGCUGUUUCCACUGUACCCUAGCCUGAAGUAUCCUCCGGGGAUAGGAUAUCUUCAGGGCUACAAAGGUACCUGGUACAGAUGCUUGCUUGGAGUUGGAGCUGGCACUGAGCAUCACUGGGCAGCCAGUAUGAGGACCAUGAAGGGUGGAGAUGGCAGAGGACGGAGAGGAGUCCUAAGAGCAAGGACCAACACUUCGGGAAGGUCCAAAGAGCAUGGAGUGGAUGCUCCAGAGAAGACAGUAAGCCUGGAUCCACAGAGGGGCAGGCACUCUUAGCUACUCUCAUGUCACCGGGUGCUGUAGUUAAACCUGGUUCUUCCUCCAAGCCCCAUGCUCCCAGCAAUAAAACUCAGAUGCAAAAUAUCUUGGGCAUAU